rnacentral:pre_miRNA from 1 species
AACCUACUCCCUCCGUUCGAAAUUACUUGUCGCAGAAAUGGAUGUAUCUAGACGUAUUUUAGUUCUAAAUACAUCCAUUUUUGAGACAAGUAAUUCCGAACGGAGGGAGUACAAU